rnacentral:rRNA from 1 species
UGGGGAAUAUUGCACAAUGGGCGAAAGCCUGAUGCAGCGACGCCGCGUGAGGGAUGACGGCCUUCGGGUUGUAAACCUCUUUCAGUAGGGACGAAGCGCAAGUGACGGUACCUGCAGAAGAAGCACCGGCUAACUACGUGCCAGCAGCCGCGGUAAUACGUAGGGUGCGAGCGUUGUCCGGAAUUACUGGGCGUAAAGAGCUCGUAGGCGGUUUGUCACGUCGUCUGUGAAAUCCUAGGGCUUAACCCUGGACGGGCAGGCGAUACGGGCUGACUUGAGUACUACAGGGGAGACUGGAAUUUCUGGUGUAGCGGUGGAAUGCACAGAUAUCAGGAAGAACACCGAUGGCGAAGGCAGGUCUCUGGGUAGUAACUGACGCUGAGGAGCGAAAGGAUGGGUAGCGAACAGG